AGGUGUUGGGAAUUUUGGCUCAGCAACAAGAGAAAAAGUAACCAAGACAAAAAAGAAGAGGAUUGCUUGAAAAACAAAGCUCCACUUCUGCCCAUGGUGGAAAAAAAGUCAAGAUUUUUACAGUAGGAGAUCUAUUCCUCCGCCACGCCCCUCUGCCAUGUCAUCCUGUCUUAGAGCAAGCAGACCACCGACUGAAACUUCUACAAAAGCAGCUGAAGUAUUUACCAGAGAUGUGAUCUCUGUGACUCUCUGGCCCCUUUGAUGAAGUAUCUAUGACCAACAAGCUAGGGCACUCAGAUGGAGAAACUGAAGCACAAGGAAGAUUUACUUAAGUAAAUUUCUCAGCACAGUUUAUGAAAUGAAAUGAUAGUCAGAGGAUUUGAACCCAGAUAACUUGGCUGCUUCCGACCUCUGCAAGAAACUCAGAAGCUGGACGAAUAACAGAAAUAGGAAAGUUGGAUCUUUCAGCUCCCCACUAAUGUGUUCCAUUUGACCAGAAGACAAAAAUCCAAUCAUUGUCAGCUGUCAGGCCACAUUCUCAACCUUGACAUUUGUGUGGAAAGAGACCCUGGAGAACAGGCUGCGAGCAGCAGCUGCCGCAGCCUCCACUCUGGAGGAAAUAGAUGGGAGACGAAAAGCAUGGUCAGAGAAAGGCUGCAAACACAGAGUGCGCUCAGCGACUUCGCAGAAUGAGCUUGAUCCCAGCCAGGAGCGGUGCCGGCCCUGAGCUAGCCUGAGAGCAAAGGCCCAAGGCACACAUGAGAGCUGCUGAGCUUGGACAUCAUCUGCAUUCCUGGUGCCCAGGCGUAUGAGACUGGAGAUGCUCAUCACACUUAGUGAAGCUUUCUGAAUUCUGUCCUGCCAGCUUCAGUGGGAGGCUCAGAAGGCUGAAACUGGAUGAGGACCACUACAGAGGCAGGUCUGACCACUUCAUGUCAAGAGGAAGGAGCAAGUUUUGGAGGAUAGCAUUGUAGAUUCUGAGCUGGAAGUUAUACUCACAUGAAUGACUCUUGCACCUCACUUUUCAGACCCUGGGGUCCCUGGGGCUGUAGCCAUCACACACAGAAACUAAAACUAAUGGGCAGUUUUCUACUACCUCCCCUAACCCACCCUGCCACAAAUGCAGCAUGAGUUGAAUCUUUUAAGUUGCAAGGAGUUUGUAUUUGACAUUUUCUAACACUUCUUGGGAUGAGAAGCCAAGAGGACAUAUUGCAUAGCAAAAUCACUGUACAGGUACUUCAUUAUUUUACAUUUAAUGCAUAGGUAACUUGUGGAUUUCCAGAAGGCACACCAUGCUUCCUGUACACUGCUACCUGAAGACACAAGCGCAUCUGUACUGUCCCUGCCUGCAGGCUUCCUCUCCCUGGAUUUGGGCACUCAGAGAAAGACUUCACUUUGACUUGAUUUGGAGGAGAGACACCAUGAGACACAGGACACUAGAGUGCUGUUUCCAGAUGAGUCACAGGAGCUCUGGGCCCAUUCUGGAGAACUCUUAACAGAAACAGGCUUCAUCUAGGCCUCAGAGCUGCGAGCUUUGGGAAAAUUGGCUGCUUGGAUCCUUUUUUUUCCUAAAGGCACCACUGACUAUAGCCAGUGUGAUAGUUGCUGACAGCUUCUUGUACAGCACUUGUGGAACAGCAAAGAAAUAAAAGGAGAUAAACGU